AGUGAUAUCCAAUUUAUGUAAUUCCAAGACUGUUUAGGGUCCCCAGUAUGCAGGAAUAUUCAAAUACACCAUUUCAGUAUAGGCAAAAAUAAUCUAUUUGUACUGCAUUUA